rnacentral:tRNA from 1 species
GGUGCUGGGGCUCAGUGGUAGAGUGCUUGCCUCAAGUGUGUGAGGCACUUGGUUCCAUCCUCAGCACCC